CGAUGGCGACCGGCGCACGGGUGAGUAACGCGUAUGCAACCUGCCUGAUACCGGGGUAUAGCCCAUGGAAACGUGGAUUAACACCCCAUAGUACUUUUAUCCUGCCUGGGAUGGGAGUUAAAUGUUCAAGGUAUCGGAUGGGCAUGCGUCCUAUUAGUUAGUUGGCGGGGUAACAGCCCACCAAGACGAUGAUAGGUAGGGGUUCUGAGAGGAAGGUCCCCCACAUUGGAACUGAGACACGGUCCAA
rnacentral:rRNA from 1 species